CAUUAAGUGGACUGAUG
rnacentral:tRNA from 1 species